rnacentral:rRNA from 1 species
CAGCCGCCGCGGGAAUACGAAGGGGGCUAGCGUUGCUCGGAAUGACUGGGCGUAAAGGGCGCGUAGGCGGUUUAUACAGUCAGAUGUGAAAUUCCUGGGCUCAACCUGGGGACUGCAUUUGAUACGUAUGGACUUGAGUGGAGAAGAGGGUCGUGGGAUUUCCAGUGUAGAGGUGAAAUUCGUAGAUAUUGGAAAGAACACCGGUGGCGAAGGCGGCGACCUGGUCUUCAACUGACGCUGAGGCGCGAAAGCGUGGGGAGCAAACAGGAUUAGAUACCCGAGUAGUCCCUGUCUCUUAUAC